rnacentral:rRNA from 1 species
UUGAACGCUGGCGGCAGGCCUAACACAUGCAAGUCGAGCGGUAGCACAGAGAGCUUGCUCUCGGGUGACGAGCGGCGGACGGGUGAGUAAUGUCUGGGAAACUGCCUGAUGGAGGGGGGUAACUACUGGAAACGGUAGCUAAUACCGCAUAACGUCGCAAGACCAAAGAGGGGGACCUUCGGGCCUCUUGCCAUCAGAUGUGCCCAGAUGGGAGUAGCUAGUAGGUGGGGUAAUGGCUCACCUAGGCGACGAUCCCUAGCUGGUCUGAGAGGAGGACCAGCCACACUGGAACUGCGACACGGGCCAGACUCCUACGGGAGGCAGCAGUGGGGAAUAUUGCACAAUGGGCGCAAGCCUGAUGCAGCCAUGCCGCGUGUGUGAAGAAGGCCUUCGGGUUGUAAAGCACUUUCAGCGAGGAGGAAGGUGGUGAGCUUAAUACGCUCAUCAAUUGACGUUACUCGCAGAAGAAGCACCGGCUAACUCCGUGCCAGCCGCCGCAGUAA